CGAUGGGAAGAGAACGGUGCGGCGCUUUUUAAAGCCGAAAGCGCGCGCAUGUUCUGAGAAAAGCCCUAAGCCCCAAAAAAAAAGCGAAAAUGGAAAAGGCAACGGACAUGGAAAUGGAAAGAGAAGAAGUAGACGAAGAAGAAACAGAGUCAGUGAGCGAUGUGUUGAGAGAUCGAUUUCGUCUCUCCACCAUCUCUAUUGCUGAAGCCGAAGCGAAAAGAAAUGGUAUGGAAAUAUCCGAACCCAUUGUCGCUUGCAUUUCCGAUUUGGCCUUCAAAUAUGCAGAGCAGCUGGCAAAGGACCUUGAGCUAUUUGCACAGCAUGCCAGUCGCAAAAUUGUAAAGAUGGAAGAUGUCAUACUUUCUGCACACAGAAACGAACAUCUAGCUACCUCUUUGAGGUCCUUAUGUGAUGAUCUGAAAGCUAAAGAACCCCAAUCCGAGAGGAAGCGGAAGAAGACGCCAAGAAAGGAGAACAAAGCAACUACAAGUGUAGUGCAUAUUCCUGAUAACUAAAGCACUCUCCAAUAUUGGAUCCGUGCCUUUGCCUAGAUUUUGCAAACAGCUCCCUUUUUUGGCACACAUGGUGUAGUUGGUGAAAGUUGCACUGGACCUACACCAAUAUAAAAACUAAUGGGAAAUGUAAUAGGCUUUUCGGUAACUGGUACAUUAAAUGAGUGACUACGUUUUUUUGUUCAGGUUCUGUAGUUGAUAGAAGACAGUUCUAAAAAUUGAUGAUGUGGGAUACUACCUAGGAGUAGGGCCAAUGGAAAGUGAUGGGCCAGUACAAUAAUAGUACUAUUAUCUUUUUGGACCCAUAUGAAUCUGGCCCAAUGUUGUAUUUUA